rnacentral:rRNA from 1 species
UACGUAGGUGGCAAGCGUUGUCCGGAAUUAUUGGGCGUAAAGCGCGCGCAGGCGGUCCUUUAAGUCUGAUGUGAAAGCCCACGGCUCAACCGUGGAGGGUCAUUGGAAACUGGGGAACUUGAGUGCAGAAGAGGAAAGUGGAAUUCCAAGUGUAGCGGUGAAAUGCGUAGAGAUUUGGAGGAACACCAGUGGCGAAGGCGGGUCUCAGGACAGUUCCUGACACUGAGGCACGAAGGCCAGGGGAGCAAACGGG